rnacentral:misc_RNA from 1 species
GUUUGUGGGCGGCGGAGUGGGCACGGACGGCUGAGAUGUGAGGGUGGGAUAGGUGAAAAGAGGUGGGUGGAAUUGGGCGGUGUCGUGUCGAGAUUGACGUGGACGUCCACGGUUGUGAUGUCGGUCGGAUUUUAUGCCCUGACCGGAUGGGAUCGAAGUGAUGGAUGGACGUGGGUGAAUAGGUGUGGAGGCGCGGAUCGGACAUAGGACGGCGACUCGGUGAUUGAUCUGUCAAAUUCCGGCCGGUGGUGGGCUCCGAUCGGACGGAGUUGGUGAAAGGUGGAGCCGAGGGUUGGUCAGCCGCGUGGAUGGAGAGCGGUCGGUAUGGAAGCGCAUCGGAGUAGGGAUGAACGGCACCGAGAUCGGCGACAUGAUCGAAAGCGGAGGUGGGCUCCGCGGGAUGUAUGGGGCGGCGGAUUGAUUGAC